rnacentral:rRNA from 1 species
GCCUACGGGGCGCAGCAGUGGGGAAUAUUGCACAAUGGGGGAAACCCUGAUGCAGCGACGCCGCGUGAGUGAAGAAGUAUCUCGGUAUGUAAAGCUCUAUCAGCAGGGAAGAAAAUGACGGUACCUGACUAAGAAGCCCCGGCUAACUACGUGCCAGCAGCCGCGGUAAUACGUAGGGGGCAAGCGUUAUCCGGAUUUACUGGGUGUAAAGGGAGCGUAGACGGCGCUGCAAGUCCGGAGUGAAAGCCCAUGGCUUA